rnacentral:rRNA from 1 species
UACGUAGGGGGCAAGCGUUGUCCGGAUUUAUUGGGCAUAAAGAGCGUGUAGGCGGCCAUACAGGUCAGCUGUGAAAACUCGAGGCUCAACCUCGAGACGUCGGUUGAAACCGUAUGGCUAGAGUCCGGAAGAGGAGAGUGGAAUUCCCGGUGUAGCGGUGAAAUGCGCAGAUAUCGGGAAGAACACCCGUGGCGAAGGCGGCUCUCUGGGACGGUACUGACGCUGAGACGCGAAAGCGUGGGGAGCGAACAGG